AAAACAUUAAACUUUAAACCAUACUUCCUUCCUGUUGGAACAGAAAGUCACCAGAUUAAAGAUGAAGACUGUCAUCUUUCUGAUGUGUCUCAUUGGACUGAGCCUGGCUGUGCCAGCUGACGUUGAGCUGAAACGCGUGGCCCGCUCUGGCUCAGAUUCCAGCUCCAAUGAGAGGAGAUGGAGUUCCCCCUCCCAGCCACAGCUUCCGUUUGCCCAGCUUCUCCAGCUGCUGCUGAGCCUCCAGCCUGCCGCCCCCGCCCCU